GAUUAUAUCUUUUUGUAUAAGUUUAUCAUGUGGUUUUAUUUUCCCUCCCCACAUAUCAAACAAACGCCCCUUUCCCCAAAACUUUUUUGAUUUCCCUCUCAUUCUUAUUGUCGGUUCCUUCCAUGCGACGGCGUCGAUAUGUGUAAUGGUCAUUUUUACUUGCCUACUCCGGCCAAUUUCUUUCUUCAAUCGUAUCUCAUUCGCUUUACAUUCUCCCUCCGGCCUAUGGGUGAAUCAGUUACUUUCUUGACUUUCAAAAUUAUAAACUUUAGAGAUGGCAAGAAGCAUGAUACUGUGUUGGGACUGCUAAUGAUAGGCCAAAGGAAAAUAAACCAACAAUGGUUCAUCUCGAUUUAAGCAACAAUCUUAUGUGUGUUAAACGAUUCGAAGGUCUUGAUUCAGCCAUUCAGGAACAAACAGAGAACUACAAGCCUAUAGAGGAUGGGAGCACUACUAUGAAUACUUUUCUGGUUGUAAUAAACCAAGAGAACUAUGAAUAUUGGCGAUUUUUUUUUGUACAGGCGUUAAAAAUGCAUUGAUAAAAAAAAGUAGAUUGUUUAUGCACAUCAUACAUGACAUGAUUCGGAGGGUCUUGUGAUAUCAUUCAAAGCAAACAUAUAUGUUUAGAGAAACUAGUUGGAAAUGCGGAAAUGAGCUACUGGGGACAACCUGGAAUUUAUGAAGCAGGAGGUUAUGAAAGAACUAUUCAUUGAAGAUAGAGACGAAUAGGGUGUUUUUAAUCCUCUUGGUAUAGAUUGACAAUUUGUGGCGACUAUAUUUUUAUUUGAGUUUAGACAAGUAUGUUAAACUAUACUAU